rnacentral:rRNA from 1 species
GACGAACGCUGACGGCGUGCUUAACACAUGCAAGUCGAACGGAAAGGCCCUGCUUUUGUGGGGUGCUCGAGUGGCGAACGGGUGAGUAACACGUGAGUAACCUGCCCUUGACUUUGGGAUAACUUCAGGAAACUGGGGCUAAUACCGGCUAGGAGCUCCUGCUGCAUGGUGGGGGUUGGAAAGUUUCGGCGGUUGGGGAUGGACUCGCGGCUUAUCAGCUUGUUGGUGGGGUAGUGGCUUACCAAGGCUUUGACGGGUAGCCGGCCUGAGAGGGUGACCGGCCACAAUGGGACUGAGGGACGGACCAGACUCCAACGGGAGGCAGCAGUGGGGAAUAUUGCACAAUGGGCGGAAGCCUGAUGCAGCAACGCCGCGUGCGGGAUGACGGCCUUCGGGUUGUAAACCGCUUUCGCCUGUGACGAAGCGUGAGUGACGGUAAUGGGUAAAGAAGCACCGGCUAACUACGUG